rnacentral:rRNA from 3 species
AUUGAACGCUGGCGGCAGGCUUAACACAUGCAAGUCGAGCGGGGGAAGGUAGCUUGCUACCGGACCUAGCGGCGGACGGGUGAGUAAUGCUUAGGAAUCUGCCUAUUAGUGGGGGACAACAUCUCGAAAGGGAUGCUAAUACCGCAUACGUCCUACGGGAGAAAGCAGGGGAUCUUCGGACCUUGCGCUAAUAGAUGAGCCUAAGUCGGAUUAGCUAGUUGGUGGGGUAAAGGCCUACCAAGGCGACGAUCUGUAGCGGGUCUGAGAGGAUGAUCCGCCACACUGGGACUGAGACACGGCCCAGACUCCUACGGGAGGCAGCAGUGGGGAAUAUUGGACAAUGGGGGGAACCCUGAUCCAGCCAUGCCGCGUGUGUGAAGAAGGCCUUAUGGUUGUAAAGCACUUUAAGCGAGGAGGAGGCUACUUUAGUUAAUACCUAGAGAUAGUGGACGUUACUCGCAGAAUAAGCACCGGCUAACUCUGUGCCAGCAGCCGCGGUAAUACAGAGGGUGCGAGCGUUAAUCGGAUUUACUGGGCGUAAAGCGUGCGUAGGCGGCUUAUUAAGUCGGAUGUGAAAUCCCCGAGCUUAACUUGGGAAUUGCAUUCGAUACUGGUGAGCUAGAGUAUGGGAGAGGAUGGUAGAAUUCCAGGUGUAGCGGUGAAAUGCGUAGAGAUCU